rnacentral:tRNA from 2 species
GGGGGUGUAGCUCAGUUGGCUAGAGCGCUUGAAUGGCAUUCAAGAGGUCGUCGGUUCAAUUCCGAUCACCUCCA